AUGAACGCUGGCGGCGUGCCUAAUACAUGCAAGUCGAGCGAACAGAUAAGGAGCUUGCUCCUUUGACGUUAGCGGCGGACGGGUGAGUAACACGUGGGUAACCUACCUAUAAGACUGGGAUAACUUCGGGAAACCGGAGCUAAUACCGGAUAACAUUUGGAACCGCAUGGUUCUAAAGUGAAAGAUGGUUUUGCUAUCACUUAUAGAUGGACCCGCGCCGUAUUAGCUAGUUGGUAAGGUAACGGCUUACCAAGGCGACGAUACGUAGCCGACCUGAGAGGGUGGUCGGCCACACUGGAACUGAGACACGGUCCAGACUCCUACGGGAGGCAGCAGUAGGGAAUCUUCCGCAAUAGGCGAAAGCCUGACGGAGCAACGCCGCGUGAGUGAUGAAGGGUUUCGGCUCGUAAAACUCUGUUAUUAGGGAAGAACAAAUGUGUAAGUAACUGUGCACGUCUUGACGGUACCUAAUCAGAAAGCCACGGCUAACUACGUG
rnacentral:rRNA from 1 species